CAUAUGAUCACCGAAGUUAAGCAACGUGGAGCCUUGUCAGUACCUUGAUGGGUGACCGCUUGGGAAUACCAAGUGU